CGCAAGACCAAAGAGGGGGACCUUCGGGCCUCUUGCCAUCAGAUGUGCCCAGAUGGGAUUAGCUAGUAGGUGGGGUAACGGCUCACCUAGGCGACGAUCCCUAGCUGGUCUGAGAGGAUGACCAGCCACACUGGAACUGAGACACGGUCCAGACUCCUACGGGAGGCAGCAGUGGGGAAUAUUGCACAAUGGGCGCAAGCCUGAUGCAGCCAUGCCGCGUGUAUGAAGAAGGCCUUCGGGUUGUAAAGUACUUUCAGCGGGGAGGAAGGUGAUGAGGUUAAUAACCUCAUCGAUUGACGUUACCCGCAGAAGAAGCACCGGCUAACUCCGUGCCAGCAGCCGCGGUAAUACGGAGGGUGCAAGCGUUAAUCGGAAUUACUGGGCGUAAAGCGCACGCAGGCGGUCUGUCAAGUCGGAUGUGAAAUCCCCGGGCUCAACCUGGGAACUGCAUUCGAAACUGGCAGGCUAGAGUCUUGUAGAGGGGGGUAGAAUUCCAGGUGUAGCGGUGAAAUGCGUAGAGAUCUGGAGGAAUACCGGUGGCGAAGGCGGCCCCCUGGACAAAGACUGACGCUCAGGUGCGAAAGCGUGGGGAGCAAACAGGAUUAG
rnacentral:rRNA from 1 species